UGCCAGACUCCUACGGGAGGCAGCAGUGGGGGAUAUUGCACAAUGGGGGGAACCCUGAUGCAGCGACGCCGCGUGGGUGAAGGAGUGCUUCGGCAUGUAAAGCCCUAUCGGCAGGGAAGAAGCAAGACGGUACCUGUCUAAGAAGCCCCGGCUAACUACGUGCCAGCAGCCGCGGGAAUACGUAGGGGGCAAGCGUUAUCCGGAUUUACUGGGUGUAAAGGGAGCGUAGACGGCAGCGCAAGUCUGGAGUGAAAUCCCAUGGCUUAACCAUGGAACUGCUUUGGAAACUGUGCAGCUGGAGUGCAGGAGAGGUAAGCGGAAUUCCUAGUGUAGCGGUGAAAUGCGUAGAUAUUAGGAGGAACACCAGUGGCGAAGGCGGCUUACUGGACUGUAACUGACGUUGAGGCUCGAAAGCGUGGGGAGCAAACAGGAUUAGAUACCCCAGUA
rnacentral:rRNA from 1 species